rnacentral:rRNA from 1 species
GUGUCAGCAGCCGCGGUAAUACGUAGGCAGCGAGCGUUGUUCGGAGUUACUGGGCGUAAAGCGUGCGUAGGCGGUGGUCCAAGUCUGGUGUGAAAUCUCCCGGCUCAACUGGGAGGGUGCGCCGGAAACUGGGCCGCUGGAGUAUGGGAGAGGCAAGCGGAAUUCCAGGUGUAGCGGUGAAAUGCGUAGAUAUCUGGAGGAACACCCGUGGUGCAGACGGCUUGCUGGACCAUGACUGACGCUGAGGCACGAAAGCGUGGGUAGCAAACAGGAUUAGAUACCCUGGUAGUCCACGCCCUAAACGAUGCAUACUUGGUGUGGGCAGUUCAGUCUGUCCGUGCCGAAGCUAACGCGAUAAGUAUGCCGCCUGGGGAGUACGGUCGCAAGGCUGAA